rnacentral:lncRNA from 1 species
GGCACGCGCCAGCAGGCAGGGCCGUGCCGGGAUGGGCUCGCGGCUGUUGCGAGGUUCACGCCCGCCCAGCGUGCGCGUGCACGUGCACGUGGAGACCUGGGCGAAGAGGCGGGGCUCUCGAACGAGAGCGCCAGACGGGGGCGGAGUUGCGGUUUUGACGUACCCCGAGGGGCGGGGAUGGAGAGCUGGCACCGGGGAGCUUGAUCAAGCUGCAGCUUCCACAACCCAAAGAUGGAGUGCCAAAACCUGUCCCCCAACCCUGUGGAAGGGGGGCUUUGUGAGCUUCAGAGGUGACCGUGGCGUGGAGCUAAGCUGGGAGAAGUCAAAGCUAUGUUUUAGUGCAAUUGAUAGAGAUUGGAAUCAAGAGUGAAGAAAGACUGAGCAGCGUAGGAGAAAGUUGUGCUUCAG